rnacentral:rRNA from 1 species
AGUGGACGCUGGCGGCGUGCUUAACACAUGCAAGACGAACGAGAACGGGCUAUAGCUUGCUAUAGUUGUCAGCUAAGUGGCGCACGGGUGAGUAAUGUAUAGGUAAUAUGCCUCUUACUAAGGGAUAACAAAUGGAAACGUUUGCUAAUACCUUAUACUCCUUUUAAACAGAAGUUUAAAAGGGAAAGAUUUAUUGGUAAGAGAUUAGCCUGUAUUGUAUCAGUUAGUUGGUGGGGUAAUGGCUUACCAAGACUAUGACACAUAACUGGUUUGAGAGGAUGAUCAGUCACACUGGAACUGAGACACGGUCCAGACUCCUACGGGAGGCAGCAGUGGGGAAUAUUGCACAAUGGACGAAAGUCUGAUGCAGCAACGCCGCGUGGAGGAUGACACAUUUCGGUGCGUAAACUCCUUUUAUAUGAGAAGAUAAUGACGGUAUUAUAUGAAUAAGCACCGGCUAACUCCGUGCCAGCCGCCGCAGUAA